GAUGAACGCUGGCGGCGUGCCUAAUACAUGCAAGUCGAGCGGACAGACGAGGAGCUUGCUCCUCUGACGUUAGCGGCGGACGGGUGAGUAACACGUGGAUAACCUACCUAUAAGACUGGGAUAACUUCGGGAAACCGGCGCUAAUACCGGAUAAUAUAUUGAACCGCAUGGUUGAAUAGUGAAAGACGGUUUUGCUGUCACUUAUAGAUGGAUCCGCGCCGCAUUAGCUAGUUGGUAAGGUAACGGCUUACCAAGGCAACGAUGCGUAGCCGACCUGAGAGGGGGAUCGGCCACACGGGAACGUAGACAGGGUCCAGACUCCUAAGGGAGGCAGCAGUAGGGAAUCGUCCGCAAUGGGCGAAAGCCUGACGGAGCAACGCCGCGUGAGUGAUGAAGGUCUUGGGAGCGUAAAACUCUGUUACGAGGGAAGAACAAAUGUGUAAGUAACUAUGCACGUCUUGACGGUAACUAAUCAGAAAGCCACGGCUAACUACGUG
rnacentral:rRNA from 1 species